UGCUUAACACAUGCAAGUCGAACGGGAAGUGGUGUUUCCAGUGGCGAACGGGUGAGUAACGCGUAAGAACCUGCCCUUGGGAGGGGAACAACAACUGGAAACGGUUGCUAAUACCCCGUAGGCUGAGGAGCAAAAGGAGAAAUCCGCCCAAGGAGGGGCUCGCGUCUGAUUAGCUA
rnacentral:ncRNA from 1 species